rnacentral:rRNA from 1 species
GACGAACGCUGGCGGCGUGCUUAACACAUGCAAGUCGAACGGAAAGGCCCUGCUUUUGUGGGGUGCUCGAGUGGCGAACGGGUGAGUAACACGUGAGUAACCUGCCCUUGACUUUGGGAUAACUUCAGGAAACUGGGGCUAAUACCGGAUAGGAGCUCCUGCUGCAUGGUGGGGGUUGGAAAGUUUCGGCGGUUGGGGAUGGACUCGCGGCUUAUCAGCUUGUUGGUGGGGUAGUGGCUUACCAAGGCUUUGACGGGUAGCCGGCCUGAGAGGGUGACCGGCCACAUUGGGACUGAGAUACGGCCCAGACUCCUACGGGAGGCAGCAGUGGGAAAUAUUGCACAAUGGGCGGAAGCCUGAUGCAGCAACGCCGCGUGCGGGAUGACGGCCUUCGGGUUGUAAACCGCUUUCGCCUGCGACGAAGCGUGAGUGACGGUAAUGGGUAAAGAAGCACCGGCUAACUACGUG